rnacentral:rRNA from 1 species
GAUGAACGCUGGCGGCGUGCCUAAUACAUGCAAGUCGAGCGAACGGACGAGAAGCUUGCUUCUCUGAUGUUAGCGGCGGACGGGUGAGUAACACGUGGAUAACCUACCUAUAAGACUGGGAUAACUUCGGGAAACCGGAGCUAAUACCGGAUAAUAUUUUGAACCGCAUGGUUCAAAAGUGAAAGACGGUCUUGCUGUCACUUAUAGAUGGAUCCGCGCUGCAUUAGCUAGUUGGUACGGUAACGGCUUACCAAGGCAACGAUGCAUAGCCGACCUGAGAGGGUGAUCGGCCACACUGGAACUGAGAAACGGUCCAGACUCCUACGGGAGGCAGCAGUAGGGAAUCUUCCGCAGUGGGCGAAAGCCUGACGGAGCAACGCCGCGUGAGUGAUGAAGGUCUUCGGAUCGUAAAACUCUGUUAUUAGGGAAGAACAUAUGUGUAAGUACUGUGCACAUCUUGACGGUACCUAAUCAGAAAGCCACGGCUAACUACGUG